rnacentral:lncRNA from 1 species
UGCUGUACUACUUUUAACUGAAUUCGCUGCUGAUUCCAUUUCUACAAGUGGUUUCCACGUUCUAAGAUAAUCGACUGCACUUAUGUACCUUUCUUUGGUCGAAGAAGUUGCGUAUUGUUCUAGAUAUUUUAUAGGGUCUUUGACAUGAAGGAAACAAUGCUUGACAUUAUUUGUCAUAUCAAAGAUCUCGAUUUGUGGAAUGAGUACACC